GCUGACGCCCCCCAUGUCUGCGUGUUGACAGCAGACUUACUGGGGACACGCUGUAGAGCUCCGAUGAUGGCUGUUGGCCGAAUGGAUGAAUGGCUUCAUUAACUUCACUGCAACACGCAGGAGUCCUUGAUCUCCCCCCUUGAAAGAUCCUAGUCCACUGCCUGGAACAUGGAAGAUGCUCCAUAAUUGUUUGCUGAAGGAACGAGUGAUAACCAGAGAAGCCAGCUCCUGCUUCCUGAUUAAGGCAUGCAGUCAGGCCAGUGGGGAAAUGGGCCUCAUGGUGGAGCUUGCCUCUGCUGGAAGACUGACGGAGCCAGGGCUCUGCCUGCCACAAUUCAUGAGCUGGCCAGAGGUCUUUGGAUUCCUCCCAGUCAUUGCUGAGAUGAGUGAGGAUUGUUUCAGAAAAUCAGGCCUCCUCCUGGGGAAUGUGCCUCAGCUUCUGGUCAUUCAAGAAUGAGGUUGGAAGAGAUCAUUCUCCUGUUUGCAAAUGAGAAACAAGUAUAGGUGUGAAGAGACCUGUCCACAGCCAUUCAACAAAUGAAAAGUCCAAUCGAAGAUGGGACCUGAUUUCUUACACCCCAGAAUACCAUCGGAGCUCCUCUGGAACAUGUCCUUGUCUUCUCAGAGUGUGAAGUGUGUGUGUGACAGUGCUUUUCUGAGGACUCAGGUGACCUGGAGGCUGGAGAACAGCAUGGAGCAAGGAAAACAAAGACGAUGUGCUGGAGUGUAUGUUGCUUUCAUAAUUAUGUGAAAGAAAAUGUAGAGAAAUUUGAAAGGAGAACUGGUUAUCAGUAGUGCCAUCCUGCUCAAAUAUCUUCAAAUACACACCACCAUCCAUGUGUGGGUUGAUUAAGGAGCUGACGUUCAUUAGAUCUGCAGUCUCCUGACCUGAUGUGCAUCAGAAUCACUGGGAGAACAAACAAACAAAAAUGAAUCCAAAACAAGCAACGAACAGACAGAUUCUCAAGUCUUGCCAAGUCCAAAGAUUGAUUUGGUGGAGAAAUUGUACUUUGAAAGCUGCCCAGGUAAUAAUUCUGGCAUAUAGCCAGGUUUGUAAAAUCUUGAAUGAACUGUCUUGGGCAAACAAA
ensembl:lncRNA LINC00598 long intergenic non-protein coding RNA 598